UUAAGCGACUAAGCGUACACGGUGGAUGCCCUGGCAGUCAGAGGCGAUGAAGGACGUGCUAAUCUGCGAUAAGCGUCGGUAAGGUGAUAUGAACCGUUAUAACCGGCGAUUUCCGAAUGGGGAAACCCAGUGUGUUUCGACACACUAUCAUUAACUGAAUCCAUAGGUUAAUGAGGCGAACCGGGGGAACUGAAACAUCUAAGUACCCCGAGGAAAAGAAAUCAACCGAGAUUCCCCCAGUAGCGGCGAGCGAACGGGGAGCAGCCCAGAGCCUGAAUCAGUGUGUGUGUUAGUGGAAGCGUCUGGAAAGGCGCGCGAUACAGGGUGACAGCCCCGUACACAAAAAUGCACAUGCUGUGAGCUCGAUGAGUAGGGCGGGACACGUGGUAUCCUGUCUGAAUAUGGGGGGACCAUCCUCCAAGGCUAAAUACUCCUGACUGACCGAUAGUGAACCAGUACCGUGAGGGAAAGGCGAAAAGAACCCCGGCGAGGGGAGUGAAAAAGAACCUGAAACCGUGUACGUACAAGCAGUGGGAGCACGCUUAGGCGUGUGACUGCGUACCUUUUGUAUAAUGGGUCAGCGACUUAUAUUCUGUAGCAAGGUUAACCGAAUAGGGGAGCCGAAGGGAAACCGAGUCUUAACUGGGCGUUAAGUUGCAGGGUAUAGACCCGAAACCCGGUGAUCUAGCCAUGGGCAGGUUGAAGGUUGGGUAACACUAACUGGAGGACCGAACCGACUAAUGUUGAAAAAUUAGCGGAUGACUUGUGGCUGGGGGUGAAAGGCCAAUCAAACCGGGAGAUAGCUGGUUCUCCCCGAAAGCUAUUUAGGUAGCGCCUCGUGAAUUCAUCUCCGGGGGUAGAGCACUGUUUCGGCAAGGGGGUCAUCCCGACUUACCAACCCGAUGCAAACUGCGAAUACCGGAGAAUGUUAUCACGGGAGACACACGGCGGGUGCUAACGUCCGUCGUGAAGAGGGAAACAACCCAGACCGCCAGCUAAGGUCCCAAAGUCAUGGUUAAGUGGGAAACGAUGUGGGAAGGCCCAGACAGCCAGGAUGUUGGCUUAGAAGCAGCCAUCAUUUAAAGAAAGCGUAAUAGCUCACUGGUCGAGUCGGCCUGCGCGGAAGAUGUAACGGGGCUAAACCAUGCACCGAAGCUGCGGCAGCGACGCUGAUGCGUUGUUGGGUAGGGGAGCGUUCUGUAAGCCUGCGAAGGUGUGCUGUGAGGCAUGCUGGAGGUAUCAGAAGUGCGAAUGCUGACAUAAGUAACGAUAAAGCGGGUGAAAAGCCCGCUCGCCGGAAGACCAAGGGUUCCUGUCCAACGUUAAUCGGGGCAGGGUGAGUCGACCCCUAAGGCGAGGCCGAAAGGCGUAGUCGAUGGGAAACAGGUUAAUAUUCCUGUACUUGGUGUUACUGCGAAGGGGGACGGAGAAGGCUAUGUUGGCCGGGCGACGGUUGUCCCGGUUUAAGCGUGUAGGCUGGUUUUCCAGGCAAAUCCGGAAAAUCAAGGCUGAGGCGUGAUGACGAGGCACUACGGUGCUGAAGCAACAAAUGCCCCUGCUUCCAGGAAAAGCCUCUAAGCAUCAGGUAACAUCAAAUCGUACCCCAAACCGACACAGGUGGUCAGGUAGAGAAUACCAAGGCGCUUGGAGAGAACUCGGGUGAAGGAACUAGGCAAAAUGGUGCCGUAACUUCGGGAGAAGGCACGCUGAUAUGUAGGUGAGGUCCCUCGCGGAUGGAGCUGAAAUCAGUCGAAGAUACCAGCUGGCUGCAACUGUUUAUUAAAAAACACAGCACUGUGCAAACACGAAAGUGGACGUAUACGGUGUGACGCCUGCCCGGUGCCGGAAGGUUAAUUGAUGGGGUUAGCGCAAGCGAAGCUCUUGAUCGAAGCCCCGGUAAACGGCGGCCGUAACUAUAACGGUCCUAAGGUAGCGAAAUUCCUUGUCGGGUAAGUUCCGACCUGCACGAAUGGCGUAAUGAUGGCCAGGCUGUCUCCACCCGAGACUCAGUGAAAUUGAACUCGCUGUGAAGAUGCAGUGUACCCGCGGCAAGACGGAAAGACCCCGUGAACCUUUACUAUAGCUUGACACUGAACAUUGAGCCUUGAUGUGUAGGAUAGGUGGGAGGCUUUGAAGUGUGGACGCCAGUCUGCAUGGAGCCGACCUUGAAAUACCACCCUUUAAUGUUUGAUGUUCUAACGUUGACCCGUAAUCCGGGUUGCGGACAGUGUCUGGUGGGUAGUUUGACUGGGGCGGUCUCCUCCUAAAGAGUAACGGAGGAGCACGAAGGUUGGCUAAUCCUGGUCGGACAUCAGGAGGUUAGUGCAAUGGCAUAAGCCAGCUUGACUGCGAGCGUGACGGCGCGAGCAGGUGCGAAAGCAGGUCAUAGUGAUCCGGUGGUUCUGAAUGGAAGGGCCAUCGCUCAACGGAUAAAAGGUACUCCGGGGAUAACAGGCUGAUACCGCCCAAGAGUUCAUAUCGACGGCGGUGUUUGGCACCUCGAUGUCGGCUCAUCACAUCCUGGGGCUGAAGUAGGUCCCAAGGGUAUGGCUGUUCGCCAUUUAAAGUGGUACGCGAGCUGGGUUUAGAACGUCGUGAGACAGUUCGGUCCCUAUCUGCCGUGGGCGCUGGAGAACUGAGGGGGGCUGCUCCUAGUACGAGAGGACCGGAGUGGACGCAUCACUGGUGUUCGGGUUGUCAUGCCAAUGGCACUGCCCGGUAGCUAAAUGCGGAAGAGAUAAGUGCUGAAAGCAUCUAAGCACGAAACUUGCCCCGAGAUGAGUUCUCCCUGACCCUUUAAGGGUCCUGAAGGAACGUUGAAGACGACGACGUUGAUAGGCCGGGUGUGUAAGCGCAGCGAUGCGUUGAGCUAACCGGUACUAAUGAACCGUGAGGCUUAACCUU
rnacentral:rRNA from 1 species